rnacentral:rRNA from 1 species
GACGAACGCUGGCGGCGUGCUUAACACAUGCAAGUCGAACGGAAAGGCCCUUCGGGGUACUCGAGUGGCGAACGGGUGAGUAACACGUGGGUGAUCUGCCCUGCACUUUGGGAUAAGCCUGGGAAACUGGGUCUAAUACCGAAUAUGAUCAUCGGCUUCAUGGUCGGUGGUGGAAAGCUUUUGCGGUGUGGGAUGGGCCCGCGGCCUAUCAGCUUGUUGGUGGGGUAAUGGCCUACCAAGGCGACGACGGGUAGCCGGCCUGAGAGGGUGACCGGCCACACUGGGACUGAGAUACGGCCCAGACUCCUACGGGAGGCAGCAGUGGGGAAUAUUGCACAAUGGGCGCAAGCCUGAUGCAGCGACGCCGCGUGAGGGAUGACGGCCUUCGGGUUGUAAAUCUCUUUCAGCACAGACGAAGCGCAAGUGACGGUAUGUGCAGAAGAAGGACCGGCCAACUACGUG